GACGAACGCUGGCGGCGUGCUUAACACAUGUAAGUCGAACGGAAAGGCCCUGCUUUUGUGGGGUGCUCGAGUGGCGAACGGGUGAGUAACACGUGAGUAACCUGCCCUUGACUUUGGGAUAACUUCGGGAAACUGGGGCUAAUACCGGAUAGGAGCUCCUGCUGCAUGGUGGGGGUUGGAAAGUUUCGGCGGUUGGGGAUGGACUCGCGGCUUAUCAGCUUGUUGGUGGGGUAGUGGCUUACCAAGGCUUUGACGGGUAGCCGGCCUGAGAGGGUGACCGGCCACAUUGGGACUGAGAUACGGCCCAGACUCCUACGGGAGGCAGCAGUGGGGAAUAUUGCACAAUGGGCGGAAGCCUGAUGCAGCAACGCCGCGUGCGGGAUGACGGCCUUCGGGUUGUAAACCGCUUUCGCCUGUGACGAAGCGUGAGUGACGGUAAUGGGUAAAGAAGCACCGGCUAACUACGUG
rnacentral:rRNA from 1 species